GGGCCUGUAGAUCAGCGGUAGAUCGCUCGCUUCGCACGCGAGAGGUCGGGGGUUCAAAUCCCCCCAGGUCCA
rnacentral:tRNA from 1 species